AUUGAACGCUGGCGGCAUGCUUUACACAUGCAAGUCGAACGGUAACAGGCCUUCGGGUGCUGACGAGUGGCGAACGGGUGAGUAAUGCAUCGGAACGUGCCCAGAGGUGGGGGAUAACGCAGCGAAAGCUGUGCUAAUACCGCAUGUGAUCUGAGGAUGAAAGCGGGGGACCAAGCAGCAAUGUUUGGCCUCGCGCCUCUGGAGCGGCCGAUGUCAGAUUAGGUAGUUGGUGGGGUAAAGGCCUACCAAGCCGACGAUCUGUAGCUGGUCUGAGAGGACGACCAGACACAUUGGGACUGAGACACGGCCCAGACUCCUACGGGAGGCAGCAGUGGGGAAUUUUGGACAAUGGGCGCAAGCCUGAUCCAGCAAUGCCGCGUGCGGGAAGAAGGCCUUCGGGUUGUAAACCGCUUUUGUACGGAACGAAAAGGCUCUGGCUAAUACCUGGGGCUGAUGACGGUACCGGAAGAAUAAGCACCGGCUAACUACGUG
rnacentral:rRNA from 1 species